CACAAACCUAGAUGGUAUAGCCUACUACAUACUUGGCUAUGUGGUAGAGCCAUUGCUCCUAGGCUGCAAACCUGUACAGCAUGGUACUGUGCUGAAUACUGUAGGCAACUGUAACACAAUGCUUUAACAACAACCACUGUUUGUUAGACACUAUGCCUGGAGAACAGAUGGAAGGAGGAUUGAUUGGAAGCUGUGAGACCAGUUAGGUAGCGACAGUGACAGUGAUUUAAGUGAGAGAUAAUGAGUGUCUGAAGGUGAUACCGGAAGAGUUAAAGAGGAGGAAGCAGCUACAAGAGAUGAUGUAUUCGCAAAAUAAAAAGGACUAACUAGAUGAACAAGAUUAACUGGGUGUGGCAAUGAGGCAUACAUUGAGAAUAUCUCCUAUGUUUCCAACUUGUACAGCUGGGAGAAUUGUGAUGCCUUUUUCUGCAUGUUUGCUUGCCAGUGUGUGUCAAGAGGUGGAAGGAAGUGGUAAAUGAUGAGUUCAGUCUUCUUGAAUUAAGGAGUAUUUGGAACAUCCAAGACAGACUAUUUCAGCACACCUGGCCAAUGACACACCCUACCAACAGCUGUGCCAUUUUAGGUUCAAGCAGGACCUUUGUAACACUUAUAAAAACAAAGUUUGAAUUUUCAAAAAAGGGGAGAGUUGUUUCCCUCCAUGAAUCUGAGCAAAAAACCUCUCGCCAAGUCAAUUCACUGGAAGUUUUUCUACUAACUCUUAGCUCCUCAAGGGAAGGCACUCUCUCAUUUAUCUCUGUUUCAUCAGAACCUAGGCAUUCAGGAAACGUUUGUUGAAUUAAUGUUAGAAUAAAUCUCUGUUCUAUUAUGAGUCUAAAGGACUGCUGAAAAGGAAUCCAAGCCUGUAAACAGAGCUCUUUGGGAUGGGGCAAGAGGAAGGAGGAGCUAAAGAAAGCACCUUUCAGGGUAGGCAUGGUGGCUCACAGCUAUAAUCCCAGCACUUUGGGAGGCCGAGGCGGGAGGAUCACUUGAGGCCAGGAGUUUAAGACCAGCCUAGGCAAUAUGGCAAAACCCGUUUCUACAAAAUAAUUUUUUUUUAAUUAGUCGGCCUACUGGUAUAUGCCUGUAGCCCCAGCUACUCGGGAGGCUGAGGUGGGAGGAUUACUUAAGCCCAGGAGGUUGAGGCUGCAGUGAGCUGUGAUGAAGCCACUGCACUCCACCCUGGGCAACAGAGUGAGACUUUUGUCUUAAAAAAAAAAAAAGGGGGGGGCAGGGGGAGGUGAUAUCUCCAGAAUAUAACCAGUUGCUUCCUCCCACAUUCAUCCCCUGACCACUUGAUUUCCAUAUAGAGUCUUAAACUAGAGAUUAGCACAUGUUUUGAAGAGGGGGAAGAAGAGGAGGAAAGGGAGAAGGAGAGAAUAAGGAGUAGAAAAGCUGCCAUGGUUCCCACUGGCUUUUCAGUGUAUUCAUUCCAGACAUUUAUGAGGCCUGGUUUUGUAUUCUUGUGAUGCUCUUCUAUCCUUUUCCGUUUAAUCUUAACUAAAUUUAAAGAGUCUUCACUCUUAGGGGAAUAUCACACUCUGGGGACUGUGGUGGGGUGGGGGGAGGGGGGAGGGAUAGCAUUGGGAGAUACACCUAAUGCUAGAUGACGAGUUAGUGGGUGCAGCGCACCAGCAUGGCACAUGUAUACAUAUGUAACUAACCUGCACAAUGUGCACAUGUACCCUAAAACUUAAAGUAUAAUUAAAAAAAAGAGACUAUUUCAAAGUGCAAAUAAAUGCAAAUUAUCUACACAUUAAAAAAAAAAAAGAAGAGUCUUCACUCUUAAAACCAAAUGGUUAUGAACUUAGCAAAUAGUGGAUACUCAAAGCUGAUGAAGAGGAAGCAAGGACAGAAAGCAAUAUCCUUACACAGGCUGGCUUUCAUUCAUGGGACUACUGAAUGUCGGUUUUUCUAAAGCACUCAAGAAUUUCAUAGAGAAGCUCACCCGUCUUCAUACCUGAAGAUCAGCAGAAACAUUUGAAAAAUUAAAGAGGGCCCAAAUUUUGGGUCAGUGACACUCCUGUUCCCAAAGGGUGACCCAGUCCCUGUGGGGAUUGAGUCUGAUAUGGGAUAAUGUGAAGGACCUGGGCUAGACCAUCAAUCUUGGCCACAGCCUAUGGUGUUUGAGAGAAAUAGAAAGGAGACAGUAGAGAGGAAAAACUGAAGGCUGAAUUCAGCUGAUAAGGAAUUAAAAUGGGCCUCAAGAAUGAGUAAAUUCAUAUAAUCCAUGGAAUAGGUCACUUGGGGCACUCUACUAAGACACUGGUAUAACAAAGCUAGCUAAACAUGGGUGUUCAAAUGCACUUCCCUUUUUUAAUAACAAUGCAGCUUGAAAAUAGGAAAAAUAUUCAUCCCCAAAGAAUUCUCUG
rnacentral:lncRNA from 1 species